UAAUUGAAUAAAAGUUAAGAAUUGCUCAUAAUAUGAAUGAAUAGCAUGAAAGUUUAUGCACUAAUUCAGCACAUGAAAAUAGUUCAUUGUUAUAAAAACACGAAUUUUUGUGUUGAAUAUGCUUUCCCAAUAUGAGAUCAACAGUCAGUUCCCAUGCUAUUCUAUAAACCAAACAUAGUGGUGUUAACACAAAAAUGAAAAUGGAAGAACUAGCAGCAACUGACAACUGCAUACCAAGCCGUUGGUGCAUUCAGGAACUAUCAAAAUUUAACCAUUGCAGGUAUGUGGUGCAGCAAGUAAAAAGAUUUUAUUUUUCAGGCUCAGGAUUUCUCCAGUCUAACAAACUAUGGAGAAAGAUUAGUGAGAAGCAUAAUAACAGAACCCAGACACUCCACAUUCCUUGCACUGCUCGAGUAUGUGUUCCUUUGGAUAUAAAUUUUGUAUUUCACUUGUCCUCUCAAGAAAAGUUUUUAAGAUUAUUAGAUUUCGGAAGUUUUCCAAUUCUUGUCUUGGUCAAUAUGAUCAAGUUCACUCCAGAACUAACUACCUAUCAUCUUCCAGGCCACAUUCACAGCAUUUUAUUUCCUCUGUCUUGAUUCAAACUUCAUUUUAAUAGCAUCCCAAAAGGCAGGAAUGCAAACAUCAUUUGGCACUUCCUUGAAUGAUGGGAGGUAAUUUACAUCCACAAUGACAUGGUCACCUGUGCCUUCCUGAAUAACAACAUCAAAACCAAAGAUGGUAAGAUCAAGUUUUCUUGCAAGCCAAUUUGCAGCAUCAGUGACUAGACCAAGAUCAAAAUGAUGGCCGUUGGCCACGGAGGGAUCCUCACUUCUAGAUUGCUCAGUACUAGUGGGAAGAGAUUUUAAGCUGUCAAAGAGUAAAGGCCCAUGACCAUUCUUUUUAGAUAAAUUCAUCAAUAUAUCAACAUUUGGUGUAGACUUCUUAACAGCAUAGAAAACUUUUUCACCCAGGACAUAAAUCUUGAACAAAGUGGAUGAAUGGUCUACAUAUUCUUGAACAACAGCUGGAAGAGGAACACCUAAAUCCUUAAAAUCUUCAACUCUGAAGACAAUUGCCAUACUGUGAGCAUCAGCUACCCCACAGGCAAUUUGAGGUUUGACUAUACUUGGAAGAAAUAGUUUAGCUUCUGACAGCCUCAGUACCAAAUCAGGUUCAUUAAAAUUAUUCACCUGCAUAUUUGAAUUCCAGAUGUAACUAAAUUUGAGGAGAAAAUGGUGAAAACUGGGAGAAAGUAUUAAGCUGGAACUUAACUAUCACUGUGGAAAGGAGUAUAAAAGGUUGGUUUCCAAGUUUCUUACUAUAGUUCAUUCCAAUAUACAGACAACUAUUUUUGCUCUACAGUCACCUAAAGUCCUUUAGAAAAUGUGGUCCUCUGAUUGUAUGGCGGCCUUCUGCAUUGAUAUCCUCUAGUCCAAGAAGAAUUUGUUGGAUGUUUAGCCGAUCCAAUACAGGGUAUAUUUUAUCAAGUGGGUCAAUCACAAAGCAAUCGGAGUGAUUUUCCAUAUACCUUCGCAAUUCCUGCAUGCCGGUGGUGUAAGUAAUUUUGCUCGAGGAUUCUGCAGAAUCACUUAAUUCAACAGAGAUGAUUUCAUCUGUUGCUUUAUGCAGAACUAUGUCAACAUGUUGUAAUUGAGAUCGUAGGGGCACUUCAAAUGUCAGGGGAAGAAAUAUCAAUCCAUUUGGAGUAGAAGAGAUAGGGAACGCACCCCUCUUAGCAAAAUCUUCUUCACGCGAAGGCUUCAUGACAUAGCCAACAGUCACAACAUUGUUGCCAUUCGCCUUGAUAUUUAAGUGGCAAAUGGUCAAAAGCAAUUCUUCUAGUUUAUUUAUACAAAGAACGGUUGAAUUAUCAAAUGCAGCAGAAACUUCAGCAUCCAAGACAACAAUAAUCCAACCCAAAUUGCUUAGUUGAUUAAAACAAUCAUUCUUGUGAUUAGAAACAAGAUACAAAAUAGUCCCUCCAAUAUCACCCCAAGCCAAAGUUACCACCUUCAAGGCAUCAUCCAUAGAUGAACCAUCCAAGAUAAAGCAAUCAAAAGAGUAUUGCAUUGCCAUCUUCUUGAGCAGGCUAACCUUAUCAUUGGAAAGACCAGGUGAAUAAGAAAUUGCCAAGUGGAGAUUGGAAUGGCGGAGCUUACGGAGGAGCGAGAGAGCUUCCGGUCGUAAUGCGGCGGUGCCGGAAUUGUCUAUUAGCACCGACUCGUCUAGAAUAACACCGCCUACUGAUGUUACCAUUUCUCCCUCUGUGCUGUUUCUCUUUUGGGGAUUGUGUGCACUGUGCACUGCAAAGGAAUCAAGAGGAAACGAGAGCAAAGGCUGUGAGCAUAGCCAGCAGACGCCUG
rnacentral:misc_RNA from 1 species